rnacentral:rRNA from 1 species
AUUGAACGCUGGCGGCAGGCCUAACACAUGCAAGUCGAACGAGUGGCGGACGGGUGAGUAAUGUCUGGGAAACUGCCCGAUGGAGGGGGAUAACUACUGGAAACGGUAGCUAAUACCGCAUACCAUCGGAUGUGCCCAGAUGGGAUUUGCUCGUAGAUGGGGUAACGGCUCACCUAGGCGACGAGCCCUCGCUGGUCUGAGAGGAUGACCAGCCACACUGGAACUGAGACACGGUCCAGACUCCUACGGGAGGCAGCAGUGGGGAAUAUUGCACAAUGGGCGCAAGCCUGAUGCAGCCAUGCCGCGUGUAUGAAGAAGGCCUUCGGGUUGUAAAGUACUUUCAGCGAGGAGGCGUUAAUCGAAGAAGAAGCACCGGCUAACUCCGUGCCAGCAGCCGCGGUAAUAG